rnacentral:rRNA from 1 species
UACGUAGGGGGCAAGCGUUGUCCGGAUUUAUUGGGCGUAAAGAGCUCGUAGGCGGUUUGGUAAGUCAGGUGUGAAAUCUCCACGCUCAACGUGGAGGGGCCACCUGAUACUGCCAUGACUGGAGUCCGGUAGAGGAGUGUGGAAUUCCCGGUGUAGCGGUGAAAUGCGCAGAUAUCGGGAGGAACACCAGUGGCGAAGGCGGCACUCUGGGCCAGUACUGACGCUGAGGAGCGAAAGCGUGGGGAGCGAACAGG